UGUAUAUUGCUUUUGCAAUCAGUUUCAAUAGGCUGUGUAUAUUUUCUUUACAAACUUAAGUACAUUUUGUCAGAGCGAGCAGAAAUAGCAUUUUCUGCACUUACUGUAUUCCCUAGAAACCCCUAUGAACAUAAGUGUUUACUAAAUGUUCAGGAAACAUAGUAUUUUAAAUAGUAAAUGUACAGCAUUAUCUGUAUAUAUGAGUAAAACUGAAGUAAACCAAAGAUAUCAAACCAAACAUCUCUUUUACAACCCAAAACUUUGACACCUGCCAGAGAAACCACCAUAUAUAGGAACUCAGCAAACUCAAUAAAAGCAUAACUGUAACUUAUUUCUAGCACCACAUCCAGGCAGGUUUUUAAGACACAAAAUCUAAUAAAUGAUCUUUUCACCUCUACCUAAAACAUACAAAUUAGUGAUUUAUAUAAAUUAAAUCACUAAUAAACGACAUCUGUUACAGAACUAAACGCUAAUUUUGAGCCCUGUAGGAAUUUUGCUUAUGUUAUUAGGAAAUUGACUAAAACAUCUUUUCCCACAUAUAUGAAGUCCCUCGACUUUCAGAAUAAACUAUUGUUACAAGAAUGUACUCUGGUAGCUAAAUUUAAAAAGUGGCCUCUUGGUGUAUAAAACAGUCAUCUUACAUUAUGAUAGACAAAAAAACAAAUUAGAAAUGCACUAUGCUUUCAAUUAGUGACGAGCCCCAACAAUGAGCCCGCGUCUAAUACUGCGGGUAACAGUCUGUCAGUGCAACACAGGUUAAAAGUGGUUUUGUAAAAUGUUAUACAGAGUGUUUACGGCCGUUUUUUAACUUCCCGGCGUGUUUCUCAGAUCUCAGAAGCGGAGCCGAUUCUGCAGGUGAACCAGGCUGCGCUCUAAGAACGCUCGGGCCGGUGUGACAUGAACUUCUCGGCGAGGACACCAAACCCUGCUCACCGCGGCGGCGGCAGAGAAACCGCGCCCGCAGCUGCGAAGCCCUCCGGCGGGACCCUGUCCGCCGCUCUCGCUGCGGGGACCGGACGCAGAGGCGCGGGCCGGACGCGGGAUGCGGUCCUGAAACGCAGCUCCCGAGGUGUAAACACGCCCGCAGCUCCCGACGUGUAAACACACCCCGCGGCCGCCGCGGAAGAAACAUCCCAAACUCCUCCAUCAAAAAACAUAAAACAAAGAAGUCACUAAAAGUUAAGGGACAGCAAGCACAUGGAAAACUGGAAAAGCAGAGCUGUCUAGAGGACAAGUGCCAACAGCACACGGGAGAUCUGAAGACCCGGCCAGGACCAGGAGGUAGAAAAGCCUAAGGGGAGACUUCUGCAUGAAGCCCAGGGUCCGAGAAGUGGACCAAAGGGGACCCAGGUUGGUAGCGCCCCCUGGCUCCUAGUGGUAGCAACUACAUCCUUUCUGGAGGGAAGUCCUAGGCUCCUCACCAAUGAAGAUGAAACAAAUAACAGCUCCUGUUCAAACAUCAUCAGCUCAUAGGAAAAAGUCAUCAUGAAUAAUAAUAAGAAAUAAAUAUAAUUAUAUCUCAUGAACUUCAGGUAUUGAUGAUAAUAAAUAGAAUAUAAAAGA